rnacentral:rRNA from 1 species
UUUGGAGGGCAAGUCUGGUGCCAGCAGCCGCGGUAAUUCCAGCUCCAAUAGCGUAUAUUAAAGUUGUUGCAGUUAAAAGCUCGUAGUUGAAUUUCGGGAUCAAUAUUUCGGUCAUGCCGUUGGUAUGCACUGUUAUCAUUGAUUUCUCACCUUCUAAAGAACCGUGAUGCCAUUAAUUUGGUGUUACGGGGAAUUAGGACUGUUACCUUGAAAAAAUUAGAGUGUUUAAAGCAGGCAAC